rnacentral:rRNA from 1 species
UACGAAGGGGGCUAGCGUUGCUCGGAAUCACUGGGCGUAAAGCGCACGUAGGCGGACUCUUAAGUCAGGGAUGAAAUCCUGGAGCUCAACUCCAGAACUGCCUUUGAUACUGGGAGUCUUGAGUUCGGGAGAGGUGAGUGGAACUGCGAGUGUAGAGGUGAAAUUCGUAGAUAUUCGCAAGAACACCAGUGGCGAAGGCGGCUCACUGGCCCGAUACUGACGCUGAGGUGCGAAAGCGUGGGGAGCAAACAGG